UUUUAAAAACAUAGGAAGAUGUUUCAGACACAUUGGGCAUAAAAGAAGAAUGACUUCCUGAAGACGCUGGACCAUGUUGACCAUGAUUUCCUGCUCCGAUCCUUUCUGCCCUGCUGCUUCCAUCAAAUCAAAUGAAAACAGCAAAUCACUGAUCAUAGUAGCCAAAUGUAGAUACUAAUUGAUUGUUCUGCCAGUAUCCCCAAGGGCUGAGUUGUGUAAGAACUGUUUCAUUAUUGCCCUGGAGGAUGGCUCAAGCUGUGCAAAAA